rnacentral:rRNA from 1 species
CAGUGAUAAACUGGAGGAAGGUGGGGAUGACGUCAAGUCAUCAUGGCCCUUACGACCAGGGCUACACACGUGCUACAAUGGCGCAUACAAAGAGAAGCGACCUCGCGAGAGCAAGCGGACCUCAUAAAGUGCGUCGUAGUCCGGAUUGGAGUCUGCAACUCGACUCCAUGAAGUCGGAAUCGCUAGUAAUCGUGGAUCAGAAUGCCACGGUGAAUACGUUCCCGGGCCUUGUACACACCGCCCGUCACACCAUGGGAGUGGGUUGCAAAAGAAGUAGGUAGCUUAACCUU